rnacentral:siRNA from 1 species
CAUCUUGAGAUUGUAAGGAUA